CGCCUGGGGAGUACGGGUGAGGUAACGGCUCACCAAGGCAUCGACGGGUAGCUGGUCUGAGAGGAUGAUCAGCCACACUGGGACUGAGACACGGCCCAGACUCCUACGGGAGGCAGCAGUAGGGAAUAUUGCACAAUGGGCGAAAGCCUGAUGCAGCAACGCCGCGUGCGGGAAGAAGGCCCUAGGGUUGUAAACCGCUUUCAGCAGGGAAGAAAAUGACGGUACCUGCAGAAGAAGGUGCGGCCAACUACGUGCCAGCAGCCGCGGUGACACGUAGGCACCAAGCGUUGUCCGGAUUUAUUGGGCGUAAAGAGCUCGUAGGCGGUUCAGUUAGUCGGGUGUGAAAACUCUGGGCUCAACCCAGAGACGCCACUCGAUACUGCUGUGACUAGAGUGCGGUAGGGGAGCAGGGAAUUCCUAGUGUAGCGGUGAAAUGCGCAGAUAUUAGGAGGAACACCAGUGGCGAAGGCGCCGCUCUGGGCCGUAACUGACGCUGAGGAGCGAAAGCGUGGGUAGCAAACAGGAUUAGAUACCCUGGUAGUCCACGCCGUAAACGUUGGGCACUAGGUGUGGGUCUCAACCAACGAGAUCCGCGCCGUCGCUAACGCAUUAAGUGCCCCGCCUGGGGAGUACGG
rnacentral:rRNA from 1 species